UACGUAGGGGGCAAGCGUUGUCCGGAUUUAUUGGGCGUAAAGAGCGUGUAGGCGGCUGGGUAGGUCCGUUGUGAAAACUCGAGGCUCAACCUCGAGACGCCGAUGGAAACCCCCCAGCUAGAGUCCGGAAGAGGAGAGUGGAAUUCCUGGUGUAGCGGUGAAAUGCGCAGAUAUCAGGAAGAACACCCGUGGCUAAGGCGGCUCUCUAGUACGGUACUGACGCUGAGGCGCGAAAGCGUGGGGAGCGAACAGG
rnacentral:rRNA from 1 species